GAGGAGGUUUCACCUCACUUUGAUGCAAGGACAUUUGUAGUUUUUUUUUUUUUUUGAAUCACUUUUCCUCACAGCCAGUGGCUUUGAAAUACAUGAAUGUAAUGUUUAUCAGGAGCUUUCAAGGACCAGCGAAAGGUAAGCUUAUCCUCGACUGGUUGCAGCCUCAACAAGGCUCAGUGUGCAAUCUGUCAUAUGCAUCCUUGACUUUUUGAGGUUUAGUUGGUAGCUGAAGGUAUAUUUUAGUGGACAAAGCCUUCUUGGCUUAAAUUGUGGCUACGGGUGGGUGAACAUGUUUUCAAAUUUGUUUUGACUUUGUCUUGCAUGAUGCUAAUUGUUUUGCUAUACAUUAUGUGUUGAAAGUAUACAUUGCCUAAACAAUGAUGUAUAAUCAACUGGAGAUUUAAACAACUGUAUCAAGCCUAUUUUGAAAUCGACCUCGGGGACAAAUUGAUAAACCAUGCCCCCCCCCCCCACCAUAUAAAAACAGGAGCACUUCAAGAAAACAUAAUGAGAUAUUUGGAAUCUACACUCGAAACUAGCCUAGAAAAUGUUGUCAGCUACUCUGUGGAUGUAUUUUUGUUUUAUUUUGACCAGUGUGAUAUAUGAUAUAUUGUAAUUAUUAAGUUCACAGUCUGCAUGUGUUGUUGCACCGUUUGUGUUACAAUAUCAGUUGUACAAAGGUGACUCCCGCAAUAUCGAUGUUAGUUUCGUAGCCCAUCUAUGGCGGUCACCAUUAUGUAUUAGCAUGAGGCGAAUGGACUUUUGGAAGACAAAGUGAUGUGGUUUGUUGAAAUAUGAUGCACUUUCGCAAAUGUCCUAUUUUUGCUUUCAGGACAAAAAAAAAAAAGUCACCCUGAGAAACUUUUAAUUUGGGGCACUUGUAGGGCGAAUGAUCGCUUGUAUUUGUUUGUCCUGUACAAUGUCCUGUUCCAUUCAAA